rnacentral:rRNA from 1 species
UACGUAGGGUGCGAGCGUUAAUCGGAAUUACUGGGCGUAAAGCGUGCGCAGGCGGUUUUGUAAGACAGAUGUGAAAUCCCCGGGCUCAACCUGGGAAUUGCGAUGGAGACUGCAAGGCUAGAAUCUGGCAGAGGGGGGUAGAAUUCCACGUGUAGCAGUGAAAUGCGUAGAUAUCGUAAGGAAGACCAGUGGCGAAGGCGGAUCUCUGGACAGUUACUGACACUGAGGCACGAAGGCCAGGGGAGCAAACGGG